AGUGAACGCUGGCGGCAGGCUUAACACAUGCAAGUCGAGCGGGCACUUUCGGGUGUCAGCGGCGGACGGGUGAGUAACGCGUGGGAACGUGCCCUCUGGUUCGGAAUAACUCAGGGAAACUUGAGCUAAUACCGGAUACGCCCUUUUGGGGAAAGGCUUGCUGCCGGAGGAUCGGCCCGCGUCUGAUUAGCUAGUUGGUGAGGUAACGGCUCACCAAGGCGACGAUCAGUAGCUGGUCUGAGAGGAUGAUCAGCCACACUGGGACUGAGACACGGCCCAGACUCCUACGGGAGGCAGCAGUGGGGAAUAUUGGACAAUGGGCGCAAGCCUGAUCCAGCCAUGCCGCGUGAGUGAUGAAGGCCUUAGGGUUGUAAAGCUCUUUUAUCCGGGACGAUAAUGACGGUACCGGAGGAAUAAGCCCCGGCUAACUUCGUG
rnacentral:rRNA from 1 species